AGAAUCAACGCUGGCGGCGUGCCUAACACAUGCAAGUCGCACGAGAAAGGGUAGCAAUACCUGAGUAAAGUGGCGCACGGGUGAGUAACACGUGAAUGAUCUACCUCCGAGUGGGGAAUAACUGAGAGAAAUCUUAGCUAAUACCGCAUAACACUUACGAGUCAAAGCAGCAAUGCGCUUGGAGAGGAGUUCGCGGCCGAUUAGUUAGUUGGCGGGGUAAUGGCCCACCAAGACGAUGAUCGGUAU
rnacentral:rRNA from 1 species